AUUGCUAGUAAUGGCAGGUCAGCAUACUGCCGUGAAUACGUUCCCGGGCCUUGUACACACCGCCCGUCACACCAUGAGAGUUGGAGAUACCCGAAGCCUAUGAGCUAACUUUAAUAGAGGCAGCAGUCGAAGGUAGAACUAAUGAUUGGGGUGAAGUCGUAACAAGGUACC
rnacentral:rRNA from 1 species